rnacentral:tRNA from 1 species
GGGGAUUUAGCUCAGCGGCAUAAGCGCCUGCCUGGCAAGCAGGCAGUUGUGAGUUCAAUCCCUG